UACGUAGGUCCCGAGCGUUGUCCGGAUUUAUUGGGCGUAAAGCGAGCGCAGGUGGUUUAUUAAGUCUGGUGUAAAAGGCAGUGGCUCAACCAUUGUAUGCAUUGGAAACUGGUAGACUUGAGUGCAGGAGAGGAGAGUGGAAUUCCAUGUGUAGCGGUGAAAUGCGUAGAUAUUAGGAGGAACACCAGUGGCGAAGGCGGCCUGCUGGACAGUAACUGACGUUGAGGCUCGAAAGCGUGGGGAGCAAACAGG
rnacentral:rRNA from 1 species